rnacentral:misc_RNA from 1 species
GAUGAAGAACGUAGCGAAAUGCGAUACGUAAUGUGAAUUGCAGAAUUCAGUGAAUCAUCGAAUCUUUGAACGCACAUUGCGCCCGCCAGCACUCUGGCGGGCAUGCCUGUUCGAGCGUCAUUUCAACCAUCAAGCCCCAGGCUUGCGUUGGAGCCCUGCGGCUGCCGCAGCCUCCUAAAAGCAGUGGCGGGCUCGCUAUCACACCGAGUGCAGUAGAUUACUCUUCGCUCAGGGCGUGCAGCGGGUUCCGGCCGUGAAACCCCCUACUUUUAAAGGUUGACCUCGGAUCAGGUAGGGAUACCCGCUGAACUUAAGCAUAUCAUAAGCGGAGGA